rnacentral:lncRNA from 10 species
GGGAUCUCCAAAGAGAUGAAAAGCAGUUUUCACAAGAUCCAAAACCAUCCCAAAGGUAGCUCAAAGGACAACACAAAAACACAAAGACAAAAGAAAAGACAAUCUGGGAGACAAAAGAUUUUAAAUAAUUGAAGUGUGGCUCUCAAAUUUCCCACAGAAAGAGAAGAGAAAGAAAAUAUGAGAGAUGAAGGAAAUGGACUAGAAGCAGUAGUAAGAGAGUUU